AUUAAAAAAGAGAAAAGGAGAGAGUGGAUUUAACCAAUUGUCUUAAAUAAUGUUUGAUGAUUGGGAAAUAAGAAUUUUUUUUUUGCUUAUUGGUAGUACAACUAUAAUUUGUGAAAUAAGUAGUAGCUAGACGAACCGACUGUCCCUAGAACAAGUGGCAAAAAAUUUAGUGGUUGGUAUCCGCCACUACAACAAAAACGGUCUAUAGCGAUACUUUUAAAUAUAGGUACAUGUCAAAAAAGUGCUGCUAGCUAAAAUUACCGACACUUUUAAAAAGUGUUGCUAUAUAUGGAAUCGCUAGGUAUAUAGUGACAGUUAAAGAGUGUCGCUAUAACCUAAAAAAGUGCUGCUAAUUUACCAACACUUAUUUAAGCAUUUAGCAACUGCCGAAACUCUAUCUCGUUGGUUGCGGUGGCGGAGAAGGACAACAGUAAAGGCUCUUCGUCUAGAAUUUCAGUGGAUUGAGUGAAGAGAAAAAAAAAGAUGGUAAUUGAUUUUUCUUUUUUUUUUUCUUUUCUGUUUGUAAUCGGGCUAAAUAGACUGGGUGUUGUGGGUUGAGUAUAGUAAACUUUUAUUUUUGGUUGGAUUGGGCUUUAUAUUUAGGCAUUAGUAGAUGUGUUUUUAAGUUUUAGCAUAAAUGGAACAUUUACUCAAAAGUGUUCCAAACAUAUGUCUCUAUAAUCUAAUUCUGUUAUAGUGCCGAGAUUCUAAGUUCGAAUCCUAGUUGAUUUAUAUUUCCAGCUAAAUUUAUUUUUAAAUAAAAUAAACGAAACGGAUAACAUGCUACCUAUCUCUCAGAAAAAAAGAAAAAAAAAA
rnacentral:lncRNA from 1 species